rnacentral:ncRNA from 1 species
AUAGGAGCGUUGAUCAGGAAGAGUAAAGUUGCUGUAUCUGUAGAGAGGAGGGUCCAUGGCUGGAAGACCUUCUAGAAUAACAGAACUUGAAUGUCACCUGGGAGCUGUUUUGCUGAAAAAAGUAGGCAAAACCGGUUUAAACCGUUAUUUUAUUCGAGUUGCUCAGCACGAAUGUUGCUGUGAACAAAGGUGGUACCGCGAACAAACCCUUCGUCCUUUGA